UCGAGGCGAAGAGUUUGACCAGAAGGUUAGCC
rnacentral:sRNA from 1 species